UACGUAGGGUGCGAGCGUUGUCCGGAAUUAUUGGGCGUAAAGAGCUCGUAGGCGGUUUGUCACGUCGAUCGUGAAAACUUACAGCUUAACUGUGAGCGUGCGGUCGAUACGGGCAUUACUGGAGUUCGGCAGGGGAGACUGGAAUUCCUGGUGUAGCGGUGAAAUGCGCAGAUAUCAGGAGGAACACCGGUGGCGAAGGCGGGUCUCUGGGCCGAUACUGACGCUGAGGAGCGAAAGCGUGGGGAGCGAACAGG
rnacentral:rRNA from 1 species